rnacentral:rRNA from 1 species
AUUGAACGCUGGCGGCAGGCCUAACACAUGCAAGUCGAGCGGUAGCACAGAGAGCUUGCUCUCGGGUGACGAGCGGCGGACGGGUGAGUAAUGUCUGGGAAACUGCCUGAUGGAGGGGGAUAACUACUGGAAACGGUAGCUAAUACCGCAUAAUGUCGCAAGACCAAAGUGGGGGACCUUCGGGCCUCAUGCCAUCAGAUGUGCCCAGAUGGGAUUAGCUAGUAGGUGGGGUAACGGCUCACCUAGGCGACGAUCCCUAGCUGGUCUGAGAGGAUGACCAGCCACACUGGAACUGAGACACGGUCCAGACUCCUACGGGAGGCAGCAGUGGGGAAUAUUGCACAAUGGGCGCAAGCCUGAUGCAGCCAUGCCGCGUGUGUGAAGAAGGCCUUCGGGUUGUAAAGCACUUUCAGCGGGGAGGAAGGCGAUAAGGUUAAUAACCUUGGCGAUUGACGUUACCCGCAGAAGAAGCACCGGCUAACUCCGUGCCAGCAGCCGCGGUAAUACGGAGGGUGCAAGCGUUAAUCGGAAUUACUGGGCGUAAAGCGCACGCAGGCGGUCUGUCAAGUCGGAUGUGAAAUCCCCGGGCUCAACCUGGGAACUGCAUUCGAAACUGGCAGGCUAGAGUCUUGUAGAGGGGGGUAGAAUUCCAGGUGUAGCGGUGAAAUGCGUAGAGAUCUGGAGGAAUACCGGUGGCGAAGGCGGCCCCCUGGACAAAGACUGACGCUCAGGUGCGAAAGCGUGGGGAGCAAACAGGAUUAGAUACCCUGGUAGUCCACGCCGUAAACGAUGUCGAUUUGGAGGUUGUGCCCUUGAGGCGUGGCUUCCGGAGCUAACGCGUUAAAUCGACCGCCUGGGGAGUACGGCCGCAAGGUUAAAACUCAAAUGAAUUGACGGGAGCCCGCACAAGCGGUGGAGCAUGUGGUUUAAUUCGAUGCAACGCGAAGAACCUUACCUGGUCUUGACAUCCACAGAACUUUCCAGAGAUGGAUUGGUGCCUUCGGGAACUGUGAGACAGGUGCUGCAUGGCUGUCGUCAGCUCGUGUUGUGAAAUGUUGGGUUAAGUCCCGCAACGAGCGCAACCCUUAUCCUUUGUUGCCAGCGGUUAGGCCGGGAACUCAAAGGAGACUGCCAGUGAUAAACUGGAGGAAGGUGGGGAUGACGUCAAGUCAUCAUGGCCCUUACGACCAGGGCUACACACGUGCUACAAUGGCAUAUACAAAGAGAAGCGACCUCGCGAGAGCAAGCGGACCUCAUAAAGUAUGUCGUAGUCCGGAUUGGAGUCUGCAACUCGACUCCAUGAAGUCGGAAUCGCUAGUAAUCGUAGAUCAGAAUGCUACGGUGAAUACGUUCCCGGGCCUUGUACACACCGCCCGUCACACCAUGGGAGUGGGUUGCAAAAGAAGUAGGUAGCUUAACCUUCGGGAGGGCGCUUACCACUUUGUGAUUCAUGACUGGGGUG